rnacentral:rRNA from 1 species
UGCGGAAGGAUCAUUAACGAACAGAAAGGACAACACAAACGCAAGUUCGUCGUCGUCCUUUCAUCCUUACAUACACACCUGUGCACCUUUGUAGGGCCCUUCUCGAGAGAGAGGGGGUCUAUGUUCUGAACGUACUCUAUGUACUACUAUACACAAUCUAAGGCCAGAAUGUUUAAACAAUCAUUACAACUUUCAGCAACGGAUCUCUUGGCUCUCGCAUCGAUGAAGAACGCAGCGAAUCGCGAUAAGUAAUGUGAAUUGCAGAUUUCCAGUGAAUCAUCGAAUCUUUGAACGCACUUUGCGCUCCUUGGUAUUCCGAGGAGCAUGCCUGUUUGAGUGUCAUAUCAUUCUCAACCAUGUCUUGAUUUGUUUUCGAGCAUGGCUUGGAUUUGGGUGCUUGCCGGCCUCAUGGUCGACUCUCCUUAAAUGUAUUAGCGGACGGAUUCGUGUCAGUGGGUCCGGUGGGCAGUCAGUAGCCUUUCGACGUGAUAAAUCAUCAUAUAUCGGAGUCGAGGCUCGCGCAUCGGGUGUAAGACAUGAUGAAUCUCUGUUUGCUUCCAACACACACCAACUUUGGACCUGCUCAAGCUAGUAGUCGGGUUGAGAGACCUUUCGAACGCAAGGACAGGACCAGGUGACCAUUUGACCACUUUGACCUCAAAUCAGGUAGGACUACCCGCUGAACUUAAGCAUAUCAAUAAGCGGAGGAAAAGAAACUAACAAGGAUUCCCCUAGUAACUGCGAGUGAAGCGGGAAAAGCUCAAAUUUUGAAUCUGGCGGUCCUUGUGGCCGU